GGCGCGUUGGCUUAGUUGGUUAAAGCGCCUGUCUAGUAAACAGGAGAUCACGAGUUCGAAUCUCGUCGGUGCCU
rnacentral:tRNA from 1 species